rnacentral:misc_RNA from 2 species
CAACCCUCAAGCUCUGCUUGGUGUUGGGCCCCGCCGCCCCGGCGGGCCCUAAAAUCAGUGGCGGUGCCGUCCGGCUCCGAGCGUAGUAAUUCUUCUCGCUCUGGAGGUCCGGGUGUGUGCUCGCCAGCAACCCCCAAUUUUUUUCA